UCAGCCUUGACCUGCCUCCUCUUCUCCACCUCUGAGUUGCAAGAGCGUGGUGAAUUCCAGGCAAGGACACUCACAUCUGGAGGAUUGGUGCUGGCACAAUGCAGGUGCCUGCUGGACAUCUCCACCUACGUGAUUCACUCAGAUUCAACCUGUCCCAAAGAGGACCCAGCACCCUACUCCCCAAACCUGGUGCUCCUGCUUCCUGUAUUCCCUGUCUCUGUGACACAUGCUUUACAGAUUCAGGGAACAGUCCUGAAAGUCCUGUGAACUCUCCCAUAUCCUAGUAGGUAUUCAAUAAAUGUUUAUUGAAUGGA